UACGAAGGGGGCUAGCGUUGCUCGGAAUCACUGGGCGUAAAGCGCACGUAGGCGGAUCUUUAAGUCAGGGGUGAAAUCCUGGAGCUCAACUCCAGAACUGCCUUUGAUACUGGGGAUCUCGAGUCCGGAAGAGGUGAGUGGAACUCCGAGUGUAGAGGUGAAAUUCGUAGAUAUUCGCAAGAACACCGGUGGCGAAGGCGCUCUGCUAGGCCGCAACUGACACUGAGGGACGAAAGCUAGGGGAGCGAAUGGG
rnacentral:rRNA from 1 species